rnacentral:lncRNA from 1 species
CUCAGAAUGUAACUUUAUUUGGAAAUAGGGUCAUAGCAGACACAAUUAAGAUGAGGUUAUACUGAAAGGAAAAUUGUAGAUUUGGAAAACUAACUCCUUACAAGAAGGGAAAACAGAGGAGACAUAUGCACAGAUGGAGACAAAGUCAAGACACAGAGGGAGAAAACCCUGGGAAGAUGGGGGCAGAAGUUAGAUGCUAGAGCUGCAAGUCGAGGACACCAAGGACUACGGCCACCUCCAGAGGCUGGGAGAGACAGCGAGGACUCUCCCCGAGAGCCUUCAGAGGGAGCGUGGCCCUGCUCAAAACUUGGUUUUGGACUUCUAGGCUCCAGAACUGUGACAGAAGAAAUUCCUAUUGCUCCAAGCCAGCAGGAAUGCGUGGUGAUGUGUUACGGCGGUCCCAGGAGACCAACGGAGACAUGCUAAAUGUUCCACUCUUCCUUUCUUGAAUUCAUCCUGAGAGGAUGCCAUGGGAUGAUUGGAAGAAUAUUCAACAAGGUUAGCAGACCUGCUUCAAAUCAUGGCUUUAACUACUCACUAGUUGUAUGACCCUAAAAAGUAACCUCAUUUGUUUGAUUCUCAGUUUGAUCACUAGCAAAAUAGGGAUACAAAUAUAUAACAGACAGGAUUAGCUUAGCGACCAAGAGUGAUACGGAAUGGGGACAUGCUUUACAAACAGUAUAAAUUUUUCAGAUAUCAGUUAUUUGAUUUUUUUCUCUUAAGCAGAUUUUCUAGAGGUUUUCCUAUUUUAAGUUGCCCUCCAAAGAACCAUCUUAUGGAUUUAUUUACGAAUUCUCCUACUUUGUUGAUUUUCUAAUUCACUUAUCAUCCUUGUAUUUUUUAUUGUCUUGCUUUUCUUGGUCUUGUUUUGCUGCCCAUUUUCUAAAUUCUUUUAUUUAUUUAUUUCUUUGAGGAAGAUUAGCCCUGAGCUAACUACUGGCAGUCCUCCUCUUUUUUGCUGAGGAAGCCUGGCCCUGAGCUAACAUCAUGCCCAUCUCCUUCUACUUUAUACGUGGGACGCCUACCUCAGCAUGGCGUGCCAAGCGGCGCCAUGUCCGCAUCCAGGAUCCGAACCAGUGAACCCCGGGCCACCGAGAAUCAGAACGUGUGAACUUAACCGCUGCGACACCGGGCCGGCCCCCAUUUUCUAAAUUCUUAAGUUAGACGUGUAGUUGCUUUCUUUUCAUUUAUUCUUAUUCUUAAGUGAUAGCAUUAAUGCUUUGAAUUUACCUCUGACUACGGCUUUGGCUGUGUUGUAUACAUUUCCAGACCUGGUGUUCUCACUUUCUUUCCUAAAUAGUUCCUAAUUGUGUAUUUUUAAUAUUUCCUUCUUUGGGUUCUUGUUACUGCCAUCCCAUAUUCUCAGCAGUGUGUGUUAACCUUAGCGAUCCAGGGGCACCUUUGUUGUUAGCGUUAUGCUGAAGUUAGAGUAUUACGAUUCUCUAUAAAUGGCUUUCUUUCUGACAUGUUUUAAGCCAAGUACAUCACGGCCAAAACAUUUUUUUAAAAAAAAGUAAGGAGUUUUUAUUUCCUCAUCAUGAAAGCAUCAGUCACAAAAUAUUAGUUUUUUGGAUUCAGACGUUUGUCCGUGAGUGCAUGUCUAGAACAUCCUCAUGUCUUCCUCCUGAGCCCCCAAGAACUAAAGACAUCACAAUCCUGCUGAAAGGGGAAGUGAGAGCAGCAGUAGUCAGCGGCCGGGCCCUGGCUUAUGAAUUAUGCUCCCAGGGUCGUGGUCCAAACAAUGGUCUUCCUUUAAGCUUAACACAGGCCCGCUUUCUCCCUGCAACCUUCACAGACCACCUCAACGCAGCGGAUCUCUCCUUCCUCAGAUCACGUCCUUUGCCCACAAGCCUAGGACCCAGAUCCGGCUCCCAAACCAGCCUGUGAGCUCCCUGAGAGCAAGCCCAUCUCUUACACACUUCUUCUCAUCUCUCCUUCUACUCCCUAGCAUUUAGCUUCUUGAAUUAAAAAGGAAAAUAAAUACUGUUUUUGUUCAGUUACAAUUCUUGCGGACGUUUCCUGAGAGAGAACGUCACCGUGACAUUCAGGGUUAUAGAUUUUACAGCAGCCAAGCAGGAAAAUCAAGGCCCUUUUUAAAACCUUUAAAAGGACUGAGACUAAUACCUUGGAUGCAUGCUUUGAGGAGAAGAAACACCGGUUACAAACAUUACGGGACUACAUUUUUAAACACUGUGAAAACCAAAAGCAGCACAUUGCUAUUUGUCCAGCUAGAGCUACCCGAGGGCUCAUAUUCUGCCACGUUUGGUGGUGAUGGCACUGGGUCCAAAAUGAUUCCAACAAUAAUGUCUCACGUGUGUAAAAUACUUUACAAUUCACAAAACUCUCCUAUGUGUGAGCUCAUCUGACGCUCAAGGAAAACCUGUGAGGAAGGCAAGUUAGGGACUAUGACACCCAUUUUGAAAAAUAGGUUUUUGGGUUCAGAAAAGAUUGGCUGAUGUACCCAAGGUCACAAAGCUAGCAGGUAGCUGGAAUAGAAUUAAGCCCAGAUCUUCUGAGUCCCCAUAUCUAUUCUUAAGGCCAAAGCCACUCUCAGUUGAUUUGGAAACUCACGAAGUAAAUCUCGGCACUCAGUCAUCAGUUUCAAUGGCUAAAUGUUCACUCACCAAACACCCUUUGCACGUCCACAGACUUGGACAAGCAAGAAGACACAGUCCCCACCGUCAAGGAGCUCACAGACGAGGAACCCGAUCAUCAUAAUGUGCAUGACAAAUCUUACUUGCUGCAAGUGCUAUGCGAGAAUUAAGAUAAAAUAAGGAUAAUAAGAAGUAACUUUUACUGACUCCUCACUAUGUGCCAGUUUUUUCCUAAUCACUUUGCGCAUGCAGUGGGUACCAUAAUGUACAACCCCGCUUGGCACAUAGCAGGAGUUUAAGAGUGGCAGUCAGUAUUAUUACCAUAUUUCUUAAAAGAAUAAAAUCAGGGAUUGCUAUCUGAAAGAAAAGGGAAGUAUAUUUAAAUUUGAAAUUAUUCAGAGCAACAUAAUAGCAGAGCAACUAGCCACCUGGGGAACUCAGAACCGGAGGGGAGACAUUGGAACUGGGUCUUAAAGAAUGAGGAAGGGUUGCAGCCAGGGAAGGGAAGAGCAUUCCAACCAGAUCAAGGGCACUGCAGAGACAGGGGCCCUGGGCGGCAGGGCAGGGGAAGGCAUGGAGAGGAGGCACUGCCCUCUGGGCAGCCAGAGACAACACACAGAAGAGGAAAAAGGAGGUGGCCUCCAGCUCGAAAGCAGCCCGGGGGUGGGGCUGUCCCUGUGCCUGACCCAGGCACCGAGGGGGAGGCACAGAUUUUCCAAGGCUAUUUGUUUGUAGGUUACAUUUUUCCUGAACAGAAUCCAAAUUCCUUUGUUUUUGCAGAGAGUCUCAUAGUUUCCAAAGAAAAAACAGACUUCUUGGUCCAAGGGCUUUCCCUGAGAAAUAUCCUAACGGCUGCGGGCCAAGACAGGGCUCCACCACGGUCUGCAUUCAGAGAACAACAGAGCAGCCGGCUGGAAGCUUCUCCAGAACCU